UGUGAACUGACAAGCCCGUGGAUGUCUACAAAGAGUGAACUGAUCACUGUGGGCUGGCCUUUGAGGCAUCAGCAAGGCGUUGUGGCUCUGGAGACCUGGAAGCACCACUAACUGUUCUCCUGAUUUUCUGAUGCUCAGCCACAUCAACCUGUCAUGCUAGUUGUGAGGAGAAGUCAAGGACAGUGACACAGCCAGCCAGUCUGAGGGGUUUUCCAUCAUCCUGAAGGAGUUGCCCUAUCCUGCUUUUCACUGGAGGGGGCAUGGAUGGGGACCCUGGAUGACAAAGCAGUCACCUACUUGAACACUACUAAUUAUGAUGUCAGAAAGAGGAAAGUUUGCAGAGUUUUGUAUUGGCAAUCAAACAUUCAGCCACAGGUCACAGUCUAGAACCAGACACAUCAGUGUCCUGAACUGCAAAGUAGCCAGGAAGCAGCAUCCCAUAACACAGUCCUAUGUCCACUGCUUUGGAGUUACUCAAGACCUAAGUGUUUUCUUGGAACUGUGUUUGUUACUGAGGAAGCCACAAAUUAAAUAUAAGUCUGCUCUUCAAGAGGUUACAUUCCAGUUAAGGAGAUCACAUAUCCAUACUUCUAGGUAACUAAGUACCAAUGUGAUUGAAGCAAGGGAAAUUGCUAUGGGAUAUCUGGCCAACUGGAUAUUCUGCUGGAAGAGCAGAAUGCACUUCAAAGACUAGCCAAUAAAACUCUCAUGGGCUCUUGACACACUGACCUCUGUCAGUUCCUUCAGCACACCAGGCUAAUCCCCAGUCUUGU
rnacentral:antisense_RNA from 1 species